UACAGAGGGUGCGAGCGUUAAUCGGAAUUACUGGGCGUAAAGCGCACGUAGGCGGCUUUGUAAGUUAGAGGUGAAAGCCCGGAGCUCAACUCCGGAACUGCCUUUAAGACUGCAUCGCUUGAACGUCGGAGAGGUAAGUGGAAUUCCGAGUGUAGAGGUGAAAUUCGUAGAUAUUCGGAAGAACACCAGUGGCGAAGGCGACUUACUGGACGACUGUUGACGCUGAGGUGCGAAAGCGUGGGGAGCAAACAGG
rnacentral:rRNA from 1 species